rnacentral:rRNA from 1 species
ACGAACGCUGGCGGCAUGCCUAACACACGCAAGUCGAACGAGACCUUCGGGUCUAGUGGCGCACGGGUGCGUAACGCGUGGGAACCUGCCCUUAGGUUCGGAAUAACUCCCCGAAAGGGGUGCUAAUACCGGAUAAUGUCUUCGGACCAAAGAUUUAUCGCCUUUGGAUGGGCCCGCGUUGGAUUAGCUAGUUGGUAGGGUAAAAGCCUACCAAGGCGACGAUCCAUAGCUGGUCUGAGAGGAUGAUCAGCCACACUGGGACUGAGACACGGCCCAGACUCCUACGGGAGGCAGCAGUGGGGAAUAUUGGACAAUGGGCGAAAGCCUGAUCCAGCAAUGCCGCGUGAGUGAUGAAGGCCUUAGGGUUGUAAAGCUCUUUUACCCGGGAUGAUAAUGACAGUACCGGGAGAAUAAGCUCCGGCUAACUCCGUG